AUUGAACGCUGGCGGCAUGCCUUACACAUGCAAGUCGAACGGCAGCACGGGUGCUUGCACCUGGUGGCGAGUGGCGAACGGGUGAGUAAUACAUCGGAACGUACCUUAGCGUGGGGGAUACCGCAGCGAAAGCUGUGCUAAUACCGCAUACGCCCUGAGGGGGAAAGCGGGGGAUCGCAAGACCUCGCGCGAUUAGAGCGGCCGAUGCCUGAUUAGCUUGUUGGUGGGGUAAAAGCCCACCAAGGCGACGACCAGUAGCUGGUCUGAGAGGACGAUCAGCCACACUGGGACUGAGACACGGCCCAGACUCCUACGGGAGGCAGCAGUGGGGAAUUUUGGACAAUAGGGGCAACCCUGAUCCAGCAAUGCCGCGUGAGUGAAGAAGGCCUUCGGGUUGUAAAGCUCUUUUGUCAGGGAAGAAACACCGGCUCUAACACAGUCCGGGAAUGACGGUACCUGAAGAAUAAGCACCGGCUAACUACGUGCCAGCCGCCGCGGUAA
rnacentral:rRNA from 1 species